UAUAUACCUGGGUUUUACCAUAAAAAACCCCAAGAAUGUGUUUCCUCUCAACAAGCCCUAGUUGUGCAGUGGGUGGCAAUGGGUUAAUGCAAAUCAACUCUGAGGCUUCACACCUGAGAGGCAGAGACCCAACUGGCUGAAAGAGAGAGCGGGGAGCACCUGGGGCUUUGCAUUUUGGGGUGGGGUGGUCUGGCACCUGCUUCUUGAGGUGGAGGGCCAAAAAAGGGAACAGGAGACCAACUGUAAAGUGCAACAAGAAAAACACAACAAAACUGGUGUGGUGGCUGUUUUUCAGCUUCAGAGACUCCCUGACAAGUUACUGUUGGGAAUGUGCUUCAUUUUCAAAGCCCUGUUUGAGCAUGCUCAUAAUUUACCUGUGGCAACCUUAGUUGCUUUCCAGAUAUCCCCAGUCUGGCAAGUUAUAAAGCACUGAGUGGACUCAAGAAGGAACAAGUGGCUUAACCAUGUCACUACUGCAGCCCAGGGUGUUCCACGGCCAUGAAAAGGGUCAGAGAUUGUUGGAGGAGGCCCAUGUCUGCAACCAGAAGCACUAAAAUUGUGAAUUGGAGCUGUCCCACACUGGGCAAAUCUUCCCUUCCUGUGCUGAGGUGAGGCAGUGACAUGCAGUGAGGGACAAAGCUGCCCAUCUCCUUCCCUCUCCCCCACUUUGACCUUCUUAGACUCUGAUACUGUCUCUUGAUGGAGGAUUAAGAAGGAUGGGAAGGCAGAAGGAAUUUCCCAAGUUUUGAAUGCCUGAUGCAAAGAACUCCUUUGAAAGGAGGGAGAUGCUGAGAGCCAGCCUGCAGCUGAUGGGCUGUGUCUCGUGAUGGCAGAGUUAAUCUGGGUAAGCAGAGAUUAACUGAGCUGCUGGAUUGGAUAAUGCCUGAACUGGUUUAUUGCAGCUUCUGCUGAUAAAGCAGCCCAAGCCUCAGAGACCCCUCCUUGUCUGCAGCUCUGCAGGGUGAGGGCCUGUGCCCAUGGCAGCAGUGCCUCAGGCACAGGAAGGCCCCAGGAAGAGGUGGCAUUAAUGAAAUCAUCAAUUUUAUAAGCAUUUGCCUGGAUCCCCUAAAGGUUUAAAUAUUUAUGAGUUAGACUUCACUAAGAAUCUGGUCCCUUGUGCUAAAGUGGAGAGUGAAAUAAAGGAGCAGCACAACAUUUAGGGAGAAUUUGUGCAGAAAGUGAAGUACAACAUCCAGUAAAGCCUAGGAAAAUAAAUCUCUCUGGAACAGAGAAAAACCUACAGGAACAGUCUGAGUUGGCAAAUCCCUGUGCAACUUCAUAGCUGAUCAAUAGAUGUUAUUUAGACAAAUAUCACACUGCUACAUUCUACCAACAAUCUCUUUUAAACAAACAUGGUCAUGCCAGGCUUUCUUGUUUGGCUUCUAAACAUAAAUCUGCUGAAAAUAUGACUCCCACAAAAUCUGAGUCUAUUCAAGCAUUUUGAAUAAUGGCCUGUUUACUUGUGUUUUCACCCUUUCAUUACUUUAUGUCCAUGUAGAGUUUCAAUGCAAGUCAGUUCCAAAGCCUUUGAGACCACACAUUCCUUGUGAGCAUUCCCUCAGGUUUCUCUGCCUCAUUCUUUAGUAUUCAUGAAUAGCAAGAAAACAUAACCUGAUGUUAGUCAAACUCUUGCCUGCAUAAAAGGGAAACCUCAGAAGGUCUGUUUCAGACUUAACUUUGCCUAGUUCUUCUCGUAUCAGUGCAGAAAUUGGCCAGCCCUCCCUGACUGAUGUCUGCUUGGCCACUUCCCAAAAGCUUCCUUUUUGAUGGAGACCUUGUAGAGUUUCUGGGCCAUCUCUCCUACUCAGCCAAACUUACAGCUGGUUUUUGGGGCUUUUUAAAUGUCCAUCUAAUUUUUAUCCUGCAAUUUAUACACAUGGCCAUUUAUGUAAGGGACAUGGAGAAUGAAGAAAGCCUAUACUUGGUCAAGGAGUAAUGUCUGAGCACUAGCAUUACCCUGUCAUGCUGUCAGUGUGGGGCACAGAGCACUAAAUUCCUAUUCCACGUCUUAAAAGCAAACAACAAGCCCCACCCCAGUUCAUCCCCAUUCUAUAAGAUCAAGAAAAGCUCAAACUCUUGUGUACUCUGCCUGAGUGGAGAUUUUUCAUUCACUCAGGUCUUGUUUAUUGGUUUACAUUGAAAAGUCUGUCAGUGCCUCAGUUUCCUGGUGUUAAUAGAAUUUAUGCCAAUCCCUUGCUAACCAAGUAAAGAAACAAUGAGAACUCUUUAGGUACUUCUCCAAAAGGCCUUCUCUUGAAAUUUGUGGGUGUUUUUUGUCCUGAAAGACUUCACCUGUAAAAGCAAUUGGGACUAUGGAUCUCUUCUGUAAAUACAGACCCUUCCCUCCAGCAAGUCUUGAGGUUUGUACCUGUCUAAUGGUCCUAGUGUGAGUGACAAAUCUACACCUGAAUUGUAAAAGACAUCCAUUUUCCUGGAUUUGAGCUUGUAGACAGCCAAGUACAAUGGGGCUUUGUUCAACAAGUAACCAGAAACAGCUCAGGCUAAAUAGCUGCCAAAUGGAACAGCUUUCUAAGAGCACCCCUGUCACUACAAAACUGUGCCAAGUCUGGAAGUGGGUUCAGGAACAGAGUUUAAAGGAUGUAGAGAACAAAGCAAUCACAAGGUUAAAUUUCGUUAUCUUGGUGCACUGAAGUGCAAAGGAACGGAAGGAUUCCAUUUAAAGGGCAAAUCCAGUGAGCUGGAUACUUUAGUUACCCAAACAUCAGCAGGUCGUGUACCUGUUCUGUGACAGCUCUGCAGCUAUGACACAUCUGCAUUACUGUGCUAAUCUUCAUAGAGUCAUAACCCAGCUGAAACUAUCCAAGCAGUCCCUCAGUUUAAAAAUGUUCUUUCCAUGCUUCAACAUUAGAACCUUCCAGGCAAGAAUAGUUAGGAGAGGGAGAGAACAGUUAAUGGAAUUGUUCCCAACACUUCUGACCUCAGCACUUCUGUCCCCCCUCAAACACUGACAGGAAUCCCAUCCAUGAUGGAAAUCUGUUGCAGGACUUGGCAUCUACAGAACUGAGCCUCUGCAGAAGGACAACUACUGAGGCUGUGAGGCCAGCCUGUAUCUCCCACAAAUGAAAUGCUUCCUUGAGCUGCUUAUGAGCAGCCUUUUACUCCAGCUGCUCUGACAUGCAGGUCCCUUGACUUAUGUCAGUUGUUUUCUGUUGCACCCUUGCCUCUGGAUCCUGUUGUGUCCCUGUCUGAGGUGGCAUUUCCCAUCCCUGUGGUGGUGCUGCCAAGCACGAGCCAGCUCUGCAUUGCUUUGUGGCCACCAGAAGUCAACAAGAGUGUCUUGCUGAUCCUGUAUCUCUGCUCAAAAUAAACUGGGUUCUGCUAAAUGCCAUUCUAAACAAAAUGUUGGUUAAGCUCUUGGCUGUUUUGCAAGAGGCCUCUGAUUUCAUGGGUAAUCAGAGCACUCAAUACAGCUGGCAAAACCCUCUCAGUGUAGAAGAGACUUCCCUCUUGAGCUAUUGUCUACUAAAUUGCAUUUAGAAAAAGCAAGGCUGCUUGAAAAAACAAGACUUUCAUUAUAAGGUGUGCAAACUUUAUAAGCCAGAGUGGGUCUUUAAAGAUCAAAUGCUUUUAAUUGGUUUUUUCUUAUGUAGCUAUUUGCAAAGCUUUCAAUCAUGUUUGUCUCUGGUUCUAGCUAGUAAUGCAGUGGCUGGAUACAAACACCUUCU